GAUGAAGAACGCAGCGAAAUGCGAUAAGUAAUGUGAAUUGCAGAAUUCAGUGAAUCAUCGAAUCUUUGAACGCACAUUGCGCCCCCUGGUAUUCCGGGGGGCAUGCCUGUUCGAGCGUCAUUUCACCACUCAAGCCUCGCUUGGUAUUGGGCAACGCGGUCCGCCGCGUGCCUCAAAUCGACCGGCUGGGUCUUCUGUCCCCUAAGCGUUGUGGAAACUAUUCGCUAAAGGGUGUUCGGGAGGCUACGCCGUAAAACAACCCCAUUUCUAAGGUUGACCUCGGAUCAGGUAGGGGUACCCGCUGAACUUAAGCAUAUCAAUAAGCGGAGGA
rnacentral:misc_RNA from 1 species